CAGCAGCCGCGGUAAUACAGAGGGUGCGAGCGUUAAUCGGAUUUACUGGGCGUAAAGCGUGCGUAGGCGGCUUCUUAAGUCGGAUGUGAAAUCCCUGAGCUUAACUUAGGAAUUGCAUUCGAUACUGGGAAGCUAGAGUAUGGGAGAGGAUGGUAGAAUUCCAGGUGUAGCGGUGAAAUGCGUAGAGAUCUGGAGGAAUACCGAUAGCGAAGGCAGCCAUCUGGCCUAAUACUGACGCUGAGGUACGAAAGCAUGGGGAGCAAACAGGAUUAGAUACCCGCGUAGUCCCUGUCUCUUAUAC
rnacentral:rRNA from 1 species